UAGUCAGCUAACUCCCCGGGACCUGCUUCGGAUCCCUGGAGGGCUGAGGAUUGAAUUCAGGAGCCUAGGGAUUCUCCCCUGUAUCUAAAAGUGGUCAAGAUGCGGGCUGAAGCGUCACGGGUCAGGAAUGCUGCACAGGAGAGUCUACGGACAGGCUAGAUGACCCUUAGCUGGUUCCGUCAUGGUGGAGCUGCCGAGUGACCCGCUGGCCUCCCUAAGCUGGGCUUGACCAUGUGUACGAAGGAAAGAAAAGGGGCAUCCCAUGGAUGUCUCCUAGUUCCCUCACUGUGGCCCAGUGUUGUAUAUCAACGCCAUCAUGGAUACACCU
rnacentral:lncRNA from 1 species